UGGCGUCUUGUGCUUUUUUUCAGUUUUUUUUUUUUUUGUGGAGAUUCUGGUGCCUGUUUUCCUGUUCUCUAAAAACGCCUAUUUUCACUGUCAUGUGACGACCGAGUGCUUGUUUUCCCGACGUUUCGAAGUGUCCAUUACGCGGAAUUCCCUACGAGAUCAUGGAACUGUUCGCAAGUGUCAUUGGGCAACAACAAAUAGGUCUUACGGUUGGAGUGAGUUUGUUGAUCAUCGUUGUGAUUGUCGUGCUCGCAGCUGUUGUUUACACACCACCGGGCGCUACAGCACGAUGCCUGAGGAGAAACAGGAGUGAAGAACACCUCUCCUUAACUGACAACAGAAUAUCAUGACUUUGUAAAGUUUUGUAUUCUAAAAAAACUUUGUUUUGACACCUGAAAGAGCAUCUCAUCGGAUACAUUAAAGGAAUUAUAUGAACAGUAUCCGCUUAUUACGUUACACGACUUAUCGCUGUAAAUAAAUCGCACGAAAUAUUGAUUUAAUACAUUAAUGGGGAUUACAGACCUCGAAUGAUCACGACUGACCAAUCAGAAACAAGUUUUUUAAAGAGCCAUGUAACUGGUGCUU